CAGUAGCCGCGGGAAUACGAAGGGGGCUAGCGUUGUUCGGAUUUACUGGGCGUAAAGCGCACGUAGGCGGACUUUUAAGUCAGGGGUGAAAUCCCGGGGCUCAACCCCGGAACUGCCUUUGAUACUGGAAGUCUUGAGUAUGGUAGAGGUGAGUGGAAUUCCGAGUGUAGAGGUGAAAUUCGUAGAUAUUCGGAGGAACACCAGUGGCGAAGGCGGCUCACUGGACCAUUACUGACGCUGAGGUGCGAAAGCGUGGGGAGCAAACAGGAUUAGAUACCCCCGUAGUCCCUGUCUCUUAUAA
rnacentral:rRNA from 1 species